UGGAUUCAAAUUCUCCUGAUGAGCAGCUCAUUGGAGCUAGAAUUCUUCGCCAAUUUGCAAUGAGUAAGCGGUUUUCUGAUGACACCCUCCAGAAGAUUGCGAUUAAUCUCUCUGUGAUUGAAAGGUUUGUUGAAAUGUUGAACUGGAAAGAUCCACAAGAGGAAGAGAUCAGGCGAUCAGCUGCAGAAAUAUUGUCAAAAUUAGCUGGCAAAAAGCAGAACUCUCUUCGAGUAGCUGGCAUACCUGGAGCAAUGGAAUCAAUAUCAUCUCUGCUCCAAACAAAUAGGAGCUCUGGUGCUGCAACUGAUGAAAUUGGUGAAAAGAAAAUCAUUCUUGAUCAUGCAAAUUAUGGAUUCUGGACAUUUAAUCAUUUAGGACUUCU
rnacentral:lncRNA from 1 species